rnacentral:rRNA from 1 species
UACGUAGGGGGCAAGCGUUGUCCGGAUUUAUUGGGCGUAAAGAGCUCGUAGGCGGCUGUCCACGUCGGGUGUGAAAGCUCAGGGCUCAACCCUGAGAUGCCACUCGAUACGGGACGGCUAGAGGCAGGUAGGGGAGAUUGGAAUUCCUGGUGUAGCGGUGAAAUGCGCAGAUAUCAGGAGGAACACCGGUGGCGAAGGCGGAUCUCUGGGCCUUGCCUGACGCUGAGGAGCGAAAGCUGGGGGAGCGAACAGG